rfam:Schistosoma rodhaini strain Burundi genome assembly, scaffold: SROB_scaffold0001205
AUCCAGCUGACGAGUCCUGAAUAGGACGAAACGCGCGUCAUGGAU